GGCUAAGUGGUUAAAAGCUCUUGCUUUGGAACCAUGAGGAUCUGGGUUCGAAUUCCCAG
rnacentral:tRNA from 1 species